rnacentral:rRNA from 1 species
CCUACGGGGGGCAGCAGUGAGGAAUAUUGGUCAAUGGACGAGAGUCUGAACCAGCCAAGUAGCGUGAAGGAUGACUGCCCUAUGGGUUGUAAACUUCUUUUAUAUGGGAAUAAAAUGUUCCACGUGUGGGAUUUUGUAUGUACCAUAUGAAUAAGGAUCGGCUAACUCCGUGCCAGCAGCCGCGGUAAUACGGAGGAUCCGAGCGUUAUCCGGAUUUAUUGGGUUUAAAGGGAGCGUAGGUGGAUUGUUAAGUCAGUUGUGAAAGUUUGCGGCUCAACCGUAAAAUUGCAGUUGAAACUGGCAGUCUUGAGUACAGUAGAGGUGGGCGGAAUUCGUGGUGUAGCGGUGAAAGGCUUAGAUAUCACGAAGAACUCCGAUUGCGAAGGCAGCUCACUGGACUGCAACUGACACUGAGGCUCGAAAGUGUGGGUAUCAAACAGGAUUAGAUACCCCAGUAGUG